rnacentral:lncRNA from 1 species
GGUUUGAAUCGAUCCGGUAAAUGUUGUUUGUUCGGGUUGUGGUGCUUCAGGGUGUUUUUAUUUGUUGCUUCUUAUCACAUAUGAAUCAAAGCCUUUUUUCUACAGUCGAACAUGACUGCAUCAUGUGAUUUGAAGCAUUGGUCUUGGAGGCUCUUCAACGCAGACCUCGGGGCGGCUUCACCAGUGUGAGACUCUAAGCGAACCAAAAUUUUGGAGUCUUUUGUACUCACCUUAUACUGCAGUAGAAGUUGUCCUAGUCGUAACUUUAUAAUCUCCUUGACUCGUCAACCACGACCUAAACACAAUCAAUAUCAAUAUAUUUAGAGUAUAGAUUAUUACCUUAAAAUAAAAUUUAGCAUCUUCCGAUUUAUAACACCUAAUUAAAUAAUUAUGUACACUAACUUACGUUCAGUUUUAAAAUUAUUUAUUUCGAGUUAGUUUUUAAUUAGAAUAUUAGAUACAACUAAUGUGCCUAGGUAAUAACAGAUCUAAAAUUUGUUCUUAAGAACGUUUUCAAUUUCACUUCAUUACAUGUCAACACAAACAAAAUAUUUCACAAAUUUAACAUACAUUAUGUUUUCACAAAAGAAAUGAUGUUUGUGUUUUAAUUACCAUAUCCUUGACUAGAUAUGUUGGUGUUGUGAGC